GAUCAUGGCUCAGGACGAACGCUGGCGGCGUGCCUAACACAUGCAAGUCGAACGGAACUUUUUUAAAAGAUUUCUUCGGAAUGAAUUUGAUUAAGUUUAGUGGCGGACGGGUGAGUAACGCGUGAGUAACCUGCCUCUGAGAGGGGGAACUAACAUUCUGAAAAGAAUGCUAAUACCGCAUAACAUAUAUUUAUCGCAUGGUAGAUAUAUCAAAGAUUUAUCGCUUAGAGAUGGACUCGCGUCCGA
rnacentral:rRNA from 1 species